GACGAACGCUGGCGGCGCGCUUAACACAUGCAAGUCGAACGGAAAGGCCUGCUUUCCCUUGUGGAUUGCGGGUACUCGAGUGGCGAACGGGUGAGUAACACGUGAGUGAUCUGCCCCCAACUUGGGUAUAAGCCUGGGAAACUGGGUCUAAUUCCCGAUAGGACUGCAGGGUGGUGCCUGUGGUGGAAAACGAUUUUCUAGUGGUUGGGGAUGAGCUCGCGGCCUAUCAGCUUGUUGGUGGGGUAAUGGCCUACCAAGGCGGCGACGGGUAGCCGGCCUGAGAGGGUGGACGGCCACAUUGGGACUGAGAUACGGCCCAGACUCCUACGGGAGCCAGCAGUGGGGAAUAUUGCACAAUGGGCGGAAGCCUGAUGCAGCGACGCCGCGUGGGGGAUGACGGCCUUCGGGUUGUAAACUCCUUUCGACCGCGAGGAAGCCACCUGGUUGGAAGGGUGGUGACGGUAGUGGUAGAAGAAGCACCGGCUAACUACGUG
rnacentral:rRNA from 1 species